rnacentral:rRNA from 1 species
CCUACGGUAGGCAGCAGUGAGGAAUAUUGGUCAAUGGCCGUAAGGCUGAACCAGCCAAGUCGCGUGAAGGAAGAAGGAUCUAUGGUUUGUAAACCUCUUUUAUAGUGGAAUAAAGGUAUCCACGUGUGGAUAUUUGCAUGUACACUAUGAAUAAGCAUCGGCUAACUCCGUGCCAGAAGCCGCGGUAAUACGGAGGAUUCGAGCGUUAUCCGGAUUUAUUGGGUUUAAAGGGUGUGUAGGUUGUUUUUUAAGUCAGCGGUGAAAGUUUGUGGCUCAACCAUAAAAUUGCUGUUGAAACUGGAAGACUUGAGUGUGUUUGAGGUAGGCGGAAUGCGUGGUGUAGCGGUGAAAUGCAUAGAUAUCACGCAGAACUCCGAUUGCGAAGGCAGAUUACUAAGCCAUAACUGACACUGAAGCACGAAAGCGUGGGGAUCAAACAGGAUUAGAUACCCUUGUAGUC